CGACCGGCGCACGGGUGAGUAACGCGUAUCCAACCUGCCCUUUACUAUGGGACAGCCCGUCGAAAGGCGGAUUAAUACCGUAUGUUGUCAUGUUGAUGCAUAUCUUCAUGACCAAAGGCUUCGGCCGGUAAAGGAUGGGGAUGCGUCUGAUUAGCUUGCCGGCGGGGUAACGGCCCACCGGGGCGACGAUCAGUAGGGGUUCUGAGAGGAAGGUCCCCCACAUUGGAACUGAGACACGGUCCAAACUCCUACGGGAGGCAGCAG
rnacentral:rRNA from 1 species